UACGUAGGGCGCAAGCGUUGUCCGGAAUUAUUGGGCGUAAAGAGCUCGUAGGUGGUUUGUCGCGUCUGUCGUGAAAGCCCAUGGCUUAACUGUGGGUCUGCGGUGGAUACGGGCAGGCUGGAGGCAGGUAGGGGAGAACGGAAUUCCCGGUGUAGCGGUGAAAUGCGCAGAUAUUGGGAGGAACACCGGUGGCGAAGGCGGUUCUCUGGGCA
rnacentral:rRNA from 1 species